rnacentral:rRNA from 1 species
UAUCUGAGAGAGAGAUUAUAGUACGUGAACUGAAUGAGUGGAAGCGUAUAGAGUUGUCGAAAGAUGGUAAUAAUAAGUUAUAUUGGAAUGUAACGGUCUAUGAAAUGUUUCUGUAUGGAUCAUUUUAUGGAUGUAGUUUAUUUUAAUAUAAUGCACUUGUUGCCAUUGUGCUGAUACAAUUGAUUAAGAUUUUUGAAAUUAUAUUAGAGGGCAUAUCUUCGGAUGUGUAUCCUGGUAUAAUGGAUAAAGUUUUUGGUUAAUUGUCCUAUAUUGAAUAAAAGAUGGUAUAAAUUAGGUGGUGUACUAAAGUUAACGCUUGCGUUGGCUUUUAUAUAUUGCUUAAUUUUAUGCUUUAUGAUAUUUAAUAUAUAUCAGUAUAAAAGACAAUCACCUAUAUGUCCCGUCUUGAAACACGGACCAAGGAGUUUAUUGUAUAUGCGAGUCAUUGAGUGAUUAAAACUCAUUGGCGUAAUGAAAGUAAAGCAUACUUUAUGUAUGUGAUAUAUGAUUGUUUUUCUACGGAAAAGCAAGUAGUAUAGUCCCAUCUAAUUUGUUUACAAAUGGGUGGAGAUAGAGCAUAUGCAAUGAGACCCGAAAGAUGGUGAACUAUGCCUGAGCAGGAUGAAGUCAGAGGAAACUCUGAUGGAAGUCCGAAGC